rnacentral:rRNA from 1 species
AGUCUAAGUACAUGCCGAAUUAAGGUGAAACCGCGAAUGGCUCAUUAAAUCAGUUAUGGUUCCUUAGAUCGUACUUUUCUACUUGGAUAACUGUGGCAAUUCUAGAGCUAAUACAUGCAGCAGAGCUCCGACCUUCGGGGACGAGCGCUUUUAUUAGACCAAGACCAAUCGGACCCCGGUCCGUAUAUCACGGCGACUCUGGAUAACUUUGGGCUGAUCGCACGAUCUAGCAUCGGCGAUAUUUCUUUCAAGUGUCUGCCUUAUCAACUGUCGAUGGUAGGUUAUGCGCCUACCAUGGUCGUAACGGGUAACGGGGAAUCAGGGUUCGAUUCCGGAGAGGGAGCCUGAGAAACGGCUACCACAUCCAAGGAAGGCAGCAGGCGCGCAAAUUACCCACUCCCGGCACGGGGAGGUAGUGACGAAAAAUAACAAUACGGGACUCUCUUGAGGCCCCGUAAUUGGAAUGAGUACAAUCUAAAUCCUUUAACGAGGAUCUAUUGGAGGGCAAGUCUGGUGCCAGCAGCCGCGGUAAUUCCAGCUCCAAUAGCGUAUAUUAAAGUUGUUGCGGUUAAAAAGCUCGUAGUUGGAUCUCAGUUACAGACAGGCGGUCCACCUUACGGUGGCUACUGCCUGGCCUGAACGUCCUGCCGGUUUUCUCUAGGUGCUCUUCAUUGAGUGUCUUGAGUGGCCGGCACGUUUACUUUGAAAAAAUUAGAGUGCUCAAAGCAGGCGUGACGCCUGAAUAAUGGUGCAUGGAAUAAUGGAAUAGGACCUCGGUUCUAUUGUGUUGGUUUUCGGAACACGAGGUAAUGAUUAAGAGGGACAGACGGGGGCAUUCGUAUUGCGACGCUAGAGGUGAAAUUCUUGGACCGUCGCAAGACGAACUACUGCGAAAGCAUUUGCCAAGAAUGUUUUCAUUAAUCAAGAACGAAAGUUAGAGGUUCGAAGGCGAUCAGAUACCGCCCUAGUUCUAACCAUAAACGAUGUUGACCAGCGAUCCGCCUGAGUUUCUCAAUUGACUCGGCGGGCAGCUUCCGGGAAACCAAAGUUUUUGAAUUCCGGGGGAAGUAUGGUUGCAAANUCGAAACUUAAAGGAAUUGACGGAAGGGCACCACCAGGAGUGGAGCCUGCGGCUUAAUUUGACUCAACACGGGAAAA